AUAUAUAAUAGAUCCAAUAAUAUCCCUCUCAUUUCUUUUCCUACCAUUUUCUCCGUGUACUCAAAUUAAUUCUCUUUCUUAAUUUGUUUUGUAACUCUCUCUCGAUCAUUGUUUUCAUUCACAGCUUGCAUAAGUCCGUAUGAUCAAUUUGGUUCAAUGGAGACGGAGUCCUCCCAUAUGAUACGGCCGGGACCAAUAUGAUCGUGAGCCGGACAAUGAUGAGCGGGACGAUUCAAUUGUCAACUCGAUGAAUGGUUUCCGUUCUUGGAUAGGUACUGCGAAUAUAUGCGAAUAUAAUAUGAACCACCUUACGGACCAAUAUGGAUCGUGAGGCGGACAAUUGUAUUGUAAUGUGAAGGUUCUCGGAAUGUUGAAAACAACUUGUGUAACUGGCUGAAUUCCUGAGGAACUCGAGUAUAUAGACUCAGAGCACAUCUUGGAAGUUUGAACGUUUGGACGUUUGUAAUAUUUACUUUAUUGUUGUUGAGAAUAUUUGUUGGACAUUUAGAAGUGUGUAAUUUAAUUUAUUUUGGUACAUUUGGAAGUUUGUAAUUUGUUGUUGUUGGCUUGUUGGGAACAAUUAAUUUGGUUUGCACUUAGAAAACAUUGGAUUUCAUUUUA